UAAUGCCGGAUGCUCCAGUUGAUCGCAUGGUCUUCUGGGAAAGCUUUCGCGGUAUGGGAUGGGGUCGCGUCCUAUCAGCUUGACGGCGGGGUAACGGCCCACCGUGGCUUCGACGGGUAGCCGGCCUGAGAGGGCGACCGGCCACAUUGGGACUGAGAUACGGCCCAGACUCCUACGGGAGGCAGCAGUGGGGAAUAUUGCACAAUGGGCGCAAGCCUGAUGCAGCGACGCCGCGUGAGGGAUGGAGGCCUUCGGGUUGUAAACCUCUUUUAUCGGGGAGCAAGCGAGAGUGAGUUUACCCGUUGAAUAAGCACCGGCUAACUACGUGCCAGCAGCCGCGGUAAUACGUAGGGUGCAAGCGUUAUCCGGAAUUAUUGGGCGUAAAGGGCUCGUAGGCGGUUCGUCGCGUCCGGUGUGAAAGUCCAUCGCUUAACGGUGGAUCCGCGCCGGGUACGGGCGGGCUUGAGUGCGGUAGGGGAGACUGGAAUUCCCGGUGUAACGGUGGAAUGUGUAGAUAUCGGGAA
rnacentral:rRNA from 1 species